CCUACGGGAGGCAGCAGUGGGGAAUAUUGCACAAUGGGGGAAACCCUGAUGCAGCGACGCCGCGUGAGUGAAGAAGUAAUUCGUUAUGUAAAGCUCUAUCAGCCGGGAAGCAAAUGACGGUACCUGAGUACGAAGCCCCGGCUAACUACGGGCCAGCAGCCGCGGUCAUACGGCGGGGGCCAGCGUUAUCCGGAUUUACUGGGUGUAAAGGGAGCGUAGACGGCAGUGCAAGUCUGGAGUGAAAGGCGGGGGCUCAACCCCCGGACUGCUCUGGAAACUGUACGGCUGGAGUGCAGGAGAGGUAAGUGGAAUGCCUAGUGUAGCGGUGAAAUGCGUAGAUAUUAGGAGGAACACCAGUGGCGAAGGCGGCUUACUGGACUGUAACUGACGUUGAGGCACGAAAGCGUGGGGAGCGAACAGGAUUAGAUACCCCAGUAGUC
rnacentral:rRNA from 1 species